rnacentral:rRNA from 1 species
AGUGAACGCUGGCGGUAGGCCUAACACAUGCAAGUCGAACGGCAGCACAGUAAGUGCUUGCUCUUACGGGUGGCGAGUGGCGGACGGGUGAGGAAUACAUCGGAAUCUACUUUUUCGUGGGGGAUAACGUAGGGAAACUUACGCUAAUACCGCAUACGACCUACGGGUGAAAGCAGGGGAUCUUCGGACCUUGCGCGAUUGAAUGAGCUGAUGUCGGAUUAGCUAGUUGGCGGGGUAAAGGCCCACCAAGGCGACGAUCCGUAGCUGGUCUGAGAGGGUGAACAGGCACACUGAGACUGAGACGCGGUCCAGAGUCCUAGGGGAGGCAGCGGUGGGGAAUAUUGGACGAUGGGCGGAAGCCUGAUCCAUCCAUGCCGCGUGGGUGAAGAAGGCCUUCGUGUUGUAAAGCCCUUUUGUUGUUGAAGAAAAGCUUCAGGUUAAUACCCCGCUGUUCUGACGGUACCCAGAGAAUAAGCACCGGCUAACUACGUG